GACGAACGCUGGCGGCGUGCUUAACACAUGCAAGUCGAACGGAAAGGCCCUGCUUUUGUGGGGUGCUCGAGUGGCGAACGGGUGAGUAACACGUGAGUAACCUGCCCUUGACUUUGGGAUAACUUCAGGAAACUGGGGCGAAUACCGGAUAGGAGCUCCUGCUGCAUGGUGGGGGUUGGAAAGUUUCGGCGGUUGGGGAUGGACUCGCGGCUUAUCAGCUUGUUGGUGGGGUAGUGGCUUACCAAGGCUUUGACGGGUAGCCGGCCUGAGAGGGUGACCGUCCACAUUGGGACUGAGAUACGGCCCAGACUCCUACGGGAGGCAGCAGUGGGGAAUAUUGCACAAUGGGCGGAAGCCUGAUGCAGCAACGCCGCGUGCGGGAUGACGGCCUUCGGGUUGUAAACCGCUUUCGCCUGUGCCGAAGCGUGAGUGACGGUAAUGGGUAAAGAAGCACCGGCUAACUACGUG
rnacentral:rRNA from 1 species